rnacentral:rRNA from 1 species
GUAGGUGGCAAGCGUUGUCCGGAAUUAUUGGGCGUAAAGCGCGCGCAGGCGGUUCUUUAAGUCUGAUGUGAAAGCCCACGGCUCAACCGUGGAGGGUCAUUGGAAACUGGAGAACUUGAGUACAGAAGAGGAAAGCGGAAUUCCACGUGUAGCGGUGAAAUGCGUAGAGAUGUGGAGGAACACCAGUGGCGAAGGCGGCUUUCUGGUCUGUAACUGACGCUGAGGCGCGAAAGCGUGGGGAGCAAACAGGAUUAGAUACCCUGGUAGUCCACGCCGUAAACGAUGAGUGCUAAGCGUUAGGGGGUUUCCGCCCCCCUUAGUGCUGCAGCUAACGCAUUAAGCACUCCGCCCUGGGAGUACGGCCGCAAGGCUG